UACGGAGGGAGCUAGCGUUGUUCGGAAUUACUGGGCGUAAAGCGCGCGUAGGCGGCUUUGUAAGUUAGAGGUGAAAGCCCGGGGCUCAACUCCGGAAUUGCCUUUAAGACUGCAUCGCUAGAAUUGUGGAGAGGUAAGUGGAAUUCCGAGUGUAGAGGUGAAAUUCGUAGAUAUUCGGAAGAACACCAGUGGCGAAGGCGAGCUUACUGGACACAUAUUGACGCUGAGGUGCGAAAGCGUGGGGAGCAAACAGG
rnacentral:rRNA from 1 species